UUCCCUCAGGAAUCCCAGGUUUCCCCUCCCAAUCCCAAUUUUCCCUCACAAUCCCAGGUUUCCCCUCCCAAUCCCAAUUUUCCCUCACAAAUCCCGAGUUUUCCCUCACAAAUCCCGAGUUUCCCCUCCCAAUCCCAAUUUUCCCUCCCAAUCCCAAUUUUCCCCUCCCAAUCCCGAAUUCCCGUCUCUCUGUAUCCCAGGAAUGCCGACCGCAAGGAGAACCGCACUCCCAAGCAGCGCUCCAGCUCCUGCAGCCCCGAUCGGCGCCGUUCCCGCGCCGGCAGCUCCGGCGCUUCCCGCUUUUCCGGCGCCUCCUUCUCCGCCCCGCGCCGUUACCGCUCCCGAUCCCGAAGUCCCGGAAGAUUCCGGAGGCCGCGGAGCCGGAGCCCUCGGCACAUCCGGAGGAUCAGCCCCCGGCACCGAUCCCGAUCCCCUCAGCGAUCCCGGAAUCCGCUGAGAUCCAGCCCCAGAGCGCGGAGAUCUCCCAGCUCCGAGCGCUCUUCCCGUCGUUCCAGCCGCUCCGAAGCAAUCCGGGAAAUUAAUUAAGGAAUAAUUAAAAGCAGUCCAGAACAAGCCAAGGAAGGCAGGAAUUAGAGGAAGGCUCCGAGCUAGUAAGUACUAGACAGGAAUUCCGAGAAAUUCCCAAAGAAUUCCCGAGAAAUUCCCAAAGAAUUCCCCAGAAAUUCCCAAAGAAUUCCGAGAAAUUCCCAAAGAAUUCCCGAGAAAUUCCCAAAGAAUUCCCAAAAAAUUCCCAAAGAAUUCCCGAGAAAUUCCCAAAGAAUUCCGAGAAAUUCCCAAAGAAUUCCCAAAAAAUUCCCAAAGAAUUCCCGAAAAAUUCCCAAAGAAUUCCCGAAAAAUUCCCAAAGAAUUCUGAGAAAUUCCCAAAGAAUUCCCAAAAAAUUCCCAAAGAAUUCCGAGAAAUUCCCAAAGAAUUCCCGAAAAAUUCCCAAAGAAUUCCCGAAAAAUUCCCAAAGAAUUCCGAGAAAUUCCCAAAGAAUUCCUGAGAAAUUCCCAAAGAAUUCUGAGAAAUUCCCAAAGAAUUCCCAAAAAAUUCCCAAAGAAUUCUGAGAAAUUCCCAAAGAAUUCCCAAAAAAUUCCCAAAGAAUUCCCGAGAAAUUC
rnacentral:lncRNA from 1 species